GCGUAAGAGCUCGUAGGUGGUUCGUCACGUCGGAUGUGAAACUCUGGGGCUUAACCCCAGACCUGCAUUCGAUACGGGCGAGCUUGAGUAUGGUAGGGGAGUCUGGAAUUCCUGGUGUAGCGGUGGAAUGCGCAGAUAUCAGGAGGAACACCAAUGGCGAAGGCAGGACUCUGGGCCAUUACUGACACUGAGGAGCGAAAGCGUGGGGAGCGAACAGGAUUAGAUACCCUGGUAGUCCACGCCGUAAACGGUGGGCACUAGUUGUGGGGACCUUCCACGGUCUCUGCGACGCAGCUAACGCAUUAAGUGCCCCGCCUGGGGAGUACGAUCGCAAGAUUAAAACUCAAAGGAAUUGACGGGGCCCCGCACAAGCAGCGGAGCAUGCGGCUUAAUUCGACGCAACGCGAAGAACCUUACCAAGGCUUGACAUAUACAGGAAUAUGGCAGAGAUGUCAUAGCCGCAAGGUCUGUAUACAGGUGGUGCAUGGUUGUCGUCAGCUCGUGUCGUGAGAUGUUGGGUUAAGUCCCGCAACGAGCGCAACCCUCGUUCUGUGUUGCCAGCAUUUAGUUGGGGACUCACAGGAGACUGCCGGGGUUAACUCGGAGGAAGGUGGGGAUGACGUCAAAUCAUCAUGCCCCUUAUGUCUUGGGCUGCACGCAUGCUACAAUGGCUGGUACAAACGGCUGCAAUACCGCAAGGUGGAGCGAAUCCG
rnacentral:rRNA from 1 species